rnacentral:piRNA from 1 species
UAAUGCCUUGAUAUUUGAGGU